rnacentral:tRNA from 1 species
GGGCGUGUAGCGCAGUGGUAGAGUGUCCGCUUCGAAUGCGGAAGGUCCUAGGAUCGACUCACUGCUCGUCCA